rnacentral:lncRNA from 1 species
CCUCGGCGGGGCAGCAGGUGUAAGCUCUGUCGUGCUGUGCCCUUGGCGUGCCUGAGCCCCUCGAGUCACUUCGGGCGCCCGCGGCGCUCCCGGUUUUCACUGCCUGCCUGGUGGCUGCAGCGGCGGGCAGGUUCGUGGCCCAGAGGGCGGCGGGGGGCGGUGCCGCCGAGGGAGCCAGGUUCCCCGGAGGCCGCGAGCAUCCGAGGCGACAGCCACGCCCAGCGCCAGGUGGGCACACGAUUGUCUUUGUUGUCGCGCGGGGACCAGAGUCUUCCCAAGGCCUGCAUACUUCCUUUGUGAACUCCUGGGUGUAACCGUGUGUGCACCUCUCUCCCUAAUGAGUUAGGAUACCCCAGAUGAAAAUACACCUUUUUUUCUGAUUAUAAAGUUAUACAGCCCCAUUGUUUUUAGAGAUAAAUCCAAGAAGUACGAACAUAAAGAAAAAAAGGGAAGAAAAUACUAGAUAUUCCAUCGGCCUCAGAUAACCAUACAAAAAACCCCACUUCAUAUUUGGGUUUCCUUCAGAUAUAUUCAUUACGAAUAUAUACUUACAUGAUUAUGCUUAUAAAAUAUUUAUUUUUAUAUAAUUGUAUAUUUUGAAUAUAAUAAAGCAUAUUCAUUUAAAAAGUAGAUUAUGCCUUAGAAUUUUCGGAACACAUGCUUGUCAAAUAUAGAUAGGUAUUACCGUUUUUAAUGGAUGCAUGGUAUUUCUUGAAAUUGCUGUACUGUACAAUAUAUUAUUUAACCAAUACCCUAAUGAUGGAUACUUGUUUUUCCAGCUUCUUCAUCAUAAAAUAGGAUGAUGGUGGCUACAGGUAUGUAUACAUGUUUGCAUUCUUGUUCAGUUUAUCUCCUUAGAGUAAUUCUUGGAAGUGGAUUAUGGCUUGGAAAUUGUGGUACAGUUUAAAUUGUGAUUCAUAAUGCUAAGCUGCCCUCUAGAAAAAUUAAUGUCCUCCCACCCAUCCACACAGUGUAACCAUGUUUAUUUCUCCACCCUCUAACUGGCGCUGGAUAUUGAAAAAUCUUACCAAUCUAAAAGGGUAUCUUAAUGUUUUUAUUUGUUAUGAAUGAGAUUAAACAUCCUUUUCUAUGUGUAUUAGUCAUUAUUUCUUUGGUAAAUCAUCUGUCUUUCCCCUAUUCUGGUUUGUGUACCUCUUAAUAACUUUCUAAGAGGAGUUCGAAUUUGUGAUUUUGAACCUGUUAACAGGUGUUCCUGUUAACACUUGUUCUGUUAACAAGUGUAACGGUUGUUUCUUUGGAUUAAGGUUGUCUUUUGUCAGUGUUUGUUUUGUUUUGUUCUAAUGUUGUAGUUCUUUAAGCUGCUUGCUUACCUCCCCAGAGGUAGAGGAAUUUGUUGUAACUCUGCAGUAGCCCCCCUGUAAUGGUUAGAAUCCAACUACUAUUCCAGUUUAAAAUCCUCCCCUUCCACCCUUGAAACCUUUUCACUUGCAACUACUAAGCCUGGGACACUGAGUUGCUCCAGAUUUUUGAAGAGAAGGUGCUGUUGGGUAUUUUGGUCAAUAUUACCAGAAUCUGCAAAAUAUAAGCUGCUCUAGCUUCUGUGUGAAAGUUUCCCAAGUAAAGCGAAAGGAUUAUCAGGUCUUUAUAUUAAACAUAAAGAAUUUACAGUUACCUGUGGGCCUUACUAAGGUUUAUAUUUUGUUAUUUACAAAUACCCAUCUUCAUACAUACAAGAAAAAGAAUGGAGUGUGCCAUAAUUUAACUGCAAAGAAGAUAACAGGUUAAUCACUGUGAAGUAUAGUACACAUGCCCUAAAAAAUCUCUUUGGGCUUUAGUGUUGGAGAUCCUCCUAGCCGGGACAGAAUGCUAUUCCAUUUCUGUCCCUGCUUCAUUGUUUAUCUUUUUAUUAGGUAGUUUUGUAUUGCAUGAACAUUGAAAUAAAUGGUGUAAUAC